rnacentral:rRNA from 1 species
CCUGUAGACUCCUACGGGAGGCAGCAGUGAGGAAUAUUGGUCAAUGGACGGAAGUCUGAACCAGCCAAGUAGCGUGCAGGAUGACGGCCCUAUGGGUUGUAAACUGCUUUUGUAUGGGGAUAAAGUUAGGGACGUGUCCCUAUUUGCAGGUACCAUACGAAUAAGGACCGGCUAAUUCCGUGCCAGCAGCCGCGGUAAUACGGAAGGUCCAGGCGUUAUCCGGAUUUAUUGGGUUUAAGGGGAGCGUAGGCUGGGGAUUAAGUGUGUUGUGAAAUGUAGACGCUCAACGUCUGAAUUGCAGCGCAGACUGGUUUCCUUGAGGACGCACGACGUUGGCGGAAUUCGGCGUGUAGCGGUGAAAUGCUUAGAUAUGACGAAGAACUCCGAUUGCGAAGGCAGCUGACGGGAGCGCAACUGACGCUUAAGCUCGAAGGUGCGGGUAUCGAACAGGAUUAGAUACCCUAGUCCAGAGAA